rnacentral:lncRNA from 1 species
CCACUCAUAGAUGUAGCAUACUUUAGCAAAAGUGUGGUGGGGCUUACGAAGAUGGUGUUUGUGAGGCAGAAAACAGUAACUUCAGCAUGAACCUUAGGCACUCAUGUUUCAAAAUGCCUUUGACCAUCCCCAACAAGUGUGUUUCUCCUGGUUCCUUGCUCCACUUAGUUGAGGUUUAUUUGUUCACAUUCUUCUCAUUUGCCUGCAGGCCUAGGAACUCCCCUGCUUGGAUCACCCCUUCAGAUUCUUUUCCCUCUUUUAGAUAGAGGCAUUCGGUACUCCUCAACUUCUGUUCCUGAUGGCUCCUCCCGGGAAAUUUCACCUAAACUCAACCUCAUGAGCUACAGAAGAAAUGGUCCUUUAAUUUAGUGCCUUCCAAUUUAGAAAGUGAGAGUGGCUGUACAUCCAAAGUUGGCAUGAUGACAACGUAUUUGGCCCUGGCAAUAGAUUAUGGCUGGUACAAACCAGUUCUCAGGAUAUCUUACAACUAGAGGCAGCCUUAAGACCCUGUUUUGUCGAGAAUACCUACUUGGAAGUCUAGUCAAAAGGUAUUUAUUAAGGUUUUUGCUUUCCUGGUUAAAGGAGAUGGUUGUAGCUACCCAUCCUUUCUUGUUCUUCACCCUUCUUUUUGCCUUGAAUGGAGUCAGGGUAGUUGGGACUGCAAAAGUCAUUUUGUGACUAGAGAGAUCACCUUAACCUCACUGAGCUUCUGAGUCAAGUCAAUAACUGUGUAUCUCCAGACUUUUUAUUGUAUGAAGGGAAAAAGAGUUCUAUUUAUUUAUGCAACUAAUGACUUUUACUUGACUUGAAGGCAUUCCUGAACAUAAACACUGCUACUUUUGCAACUGCUUUUGAGACAUAUUUAUAGAGUUCAUCAAAA